ensembl:snoRNA SNORA70 Small nucleolar RNA SNORA70
CUGCAGCCAAUUAAGCCAAUCAUGUUCUUUUCCUCAUGGGGGUCCUGGCGCCCAACGGCUGCAGACAGCAGCCUCCUUGGUAGUGAAUGCAGCCUGUGGCUCAUGUGCGUUGCCCAAAGGGACAAGGAGACAGCU